GAUCGCGUAACUCAGUCGGUAGAGUGUGAAGCUAAUACUUCCGUAAUCAGACUUCAAAGUCGCGAGUUCGAGCCUCGUCGUGAUCA